UGAAGUAUUUCAGUGUUAAAGCACUUAAGCAAUGAUACAGAGAAGAUUAGCAUGGCCUCUGCACAAGAUUGACACACAAAUUCAUGAAGUGUUCCAUAAAUUU
rnacentral:snRNA from 1 species